GAUGAACGCUGGCGGUAUGCUUAACACAUGCAAGUCGAACGGACUCUUCGGAGUUAGUGGCGGACGGGUGAGUAACGCGUGAGAAUCUGGCUUUGGGUUCGGGACAACCACUGGAAACGGUGGCUAAUACCGGAUGUGCCGAGAGGUAAAAGAGAAAUUGACUGAAGAUGAGCUCGCGUCUGAUUAGCUAGUUGGUGAGGUAAAGGCUCACCAAGGCAGCGAUCAGUAGCUGGUCUGAGAGGUUGACCAGCCACACUGGGACUGAGACACGGCCCAGACUACUACGGGAGGAAGCAGUGGGGAAUUUUCCACAAUGGGCGAAAGACUGACGGAGCAAUACCGCGUGAGGGAAGAAGGCUCUUGGGAUGUAAACCUCUUUUCUUAGGGAAGAACAAAAUGACGGUACCUAAGGAAUCAGCAUCGGCUAACUCCGUG
rnacentral:rRNA from 1 species